rnacentral:rRNA from 1 species
CUCAGACAGCUAGGAGGUUGGCUUAGAAGCAGCCACCCUUUAAAGAAAGCGUAAUAGCUCACUAGUCGAGUCGGCCUGCGCGGAAGAUGUAACGGGGCUCAAACUGGUCACCGAAGCUGCGGCUGCAUACUUUGUAUGCGGGGUAGGGGAGCGUUCUGUAAGCCUGCGAAGGUGUGUUGAGAAGCAUGCUGGAGGUAUCAGAAGUGCGAAUGCUGACAUGAGUAACGACAAUGGGGGUGAAAAACCCCCACGCCGGAAGACCAAGGGUUCCUGCGCAACGCUAAUCGGCGCAGGGUGAGUCGGCCCCUAAGGCGAGGCAGAAAUGCGUAGUCGAUGGGAAACGGGUUAAUAUUCCCGUACUUCUUAUAACUGCGAUGGAGAGACGGAGAAGGCUAGGCAUACCGGGCGUUGGUUGUCCCGGGGAAAGUGAGUAGGCCAGCAACUUAGGUAAAUCCGGGUUGCUCUCUUAAAUGAGGAGGCUGAGACACGAGACCACUGCCCUUUGUGGCGGGAAGUUGUCGAUGCCAUGCUUCCAGGAAAUACCUUCUAAGCUUCAGGUUAGUAGUGACCGUACUCCAAACCGACACAGGUGGUCGGGUAGAGAAUACCAAGGCGCUUGAGAGAACUCGGGUGAAGGAACUAGGCAAAAUUGUACCGUAACUUCGGGAGAAGGUACGCCGCUGACGGUGAUGAGACUUGCUCUCUGAGCUAUUGGCGGUCGCAGUGAAAAGGCCCCUGCAACUGUUUAUUAAAAACACAGCACUCUGCAAACGCGUAAGCGGACGUAUAGGGUGUGACGCCUGCCCGGUGCCGGAAGGUUAAUUGAUGGGGUUAGCUUCGGCGAAGCUCUUGAUCGAAGCCCCGGUAAACGGCGGCCGUAACAAUAACGGUCCUAAGGCAGCG